rnacentral:lncRNA from 1 species
GAGUGAUAUAACUACACUUUCAUAUAAAGGAAGAACCCGCCUAGCUACUGAUUUCAUUUGUGUUUUGAUAGUGCUUCAGGAAUGCUACGUAUAGU